rnacentral:rRNA from 1 species
UACGGAGGAUCCGAGCGUUAUCCGGAUUUAUUGGGUUUAAAGGGUGCGUAGGCGGCCUGUUAAGUCAGGGGUGAAAGACGGUAGCUCAACUAUCGCAGUGCCCUUGAUACUGAUGGGCUUGAAUGUACUAGAGGUAGGCGGAAUGUGACAAGUAGCGGUGAAAUGCAUAGAUAUGUCACAGAACACCAGUUGCGAAGGCAGCUUGCUAUGGUAUAAUUGACGCUGAGGCACGAAAGCGUGGGGAUCAAACAGG